rnacentral:rRNA from 1 species
UUUAUCAGAGAAGCUUUGGUGCCUUCGGGAACUCUGAGACAGGUGCUGCAUGGCUGUCGUCAGCUCGUGUUGUGAAAUGUUGGGUUAAGUCCCGCAACGAGCGCAACCCUUAUCCUUUGUUGCCAGCGAUUCGGUCGGGAACUCAAAGGAGACUGCCGGUGAUAAACCGGAGGAAGGUGGGGAUGACGUCAAGUCAUCAUGGCCCUUACGAGUAGGGCUACACACGUGCUACAAUGGCGUAUACAAAGAGAAGCGACCUCGCGAGAGCAAGCGGAACUCAUAAAGUACGUCGUAGUCCGGAUUGGAGUCUGCAACUCGACUCCAUGAAGUCGGAAUCGCUAGUAAUCGUAGAUCAGAAUGCUACGGUGAAUACGUUCCCGGGCCUUGUACACACCGCCCGUCAC